CCUGCAGACCUGCUUCACCGCCUGUGAAGCGACUCUAGUGCAGGUGGGGAGCCGGGGGCUCGAACCGGGAUUUUUACCCCGGUCCCCGCGCUUUGCGCCACCUGCGCUUAACCCGCUGUGCUACCGGCCGACUCCCAGAAUUUAUUAAUUUUAUCUUCACUGCUGUUUCUGUGAAAAAAAUGCAAACUUUACUUUCUUUCAUGAGGCUCGUGUGAUUCAUUACCUGAAGCAGUUGACUGAAAUUACUGGGUGUUUCACCCUGCGCCCUUCUGUAUAAUGAAUGUGGGGCCAAGUACAUUGAAUAAAUGCAUUAAUUAAAUGGAGGAGAUAAAUAACAGAAUCGUGUCGGGCAUGCAUCAUCAAGAAUGUAGAACGGGGACCAAACAGUGCUGAGUGAUUCCAAAAUCACACUUAACUACAAUCGUUUACCGAGAUAGUCAAGAUAUAGAGAGAAAUCUGUAAAUGUUGCUCUGACGGGGUGGUUUUCAAUGUGGCUAUCCAUGCCAUUAAAGUAAAAGUAAAGUAAAGAAUUAAUCCCAGAGGACCACAGUUUAUUAGCUAGUCCUCGAGUUCUAGCAGUUAGUAACCUAGGCACAAGUAUUCUAAACCAAGGUUAAUUCUGGUCUUUCUUCCACAGAACGUGGAAUACACAGUUUUGAAGAAACACAAUAUUAAUUGGCAACACAGAGGCAGAUGCAAGCUCAACAACCCUCCCAUGAUUGAAUCACUGUUUAUUUUGAAGACACUUGACGAGUUCUUUGGAGCCUGGGGAGCUUAAACGCUAAUAAUGGUCACUAUCAAACAUGCUCAUGUAUUCACGGUAAAGAUGCUGUUGCCUUUUACUUCUGCAUAGACUGAAGUAAUCAGUCAUAUUUUCUUAAGGAGUUGUCGGGGGUGGGGGUACUUGGUCUUGACUGUUUACUCAGAUGUUUGCAAGGAGUGGGUCAUCAACAGUUCAGAAGUGUCUGUGCAUUGAUCUGUGGGCUGUGACUUCAACAUUAUGAAGAGUUCAAUUUUGUCAGACCAAUUCCCUUAGACAUUAUAAUCAUUUUGGGGACAAUUUAAUAUUCCACCUUACUGUUUCGCCUGAGUGGAUGGUGGAUGUAAGAGGGUGUUUUUUUUUUUAUUGGUGUGUUAAUAGAUUACUAAUCCAUUGGGAUGGAGAACAUUUUUUUUAAUUUUCCCUUUUGUUGCCCUUGUUUUUUACUGUUGUUGUAGUUAUUAUUGUUGUUAUUGAUGUCGUUGUUGGAUAGGACAGAGAGAAAUGGAGAAAAGAGGGGGAGACAGAGGGGGGCACCUGCAGACCUGCUUCACUGCCUGUGAAGCGACUCCCCUGCAGGUGGGGAGCCGGGGGCUCGAACCAGGAUCCUUACUCCGGUCCUUGCGUUUUGCGCCACCUGCGCUUAACCAGCUGCGCUACCACCCGACUCCCAGAGAACAUUAACAGAUGGGAGAAAUGGCAUUUUCCUCAGUUAUCACAUGCAAUGCUAAUGUACAUUACCCACUUUGAAAUAGCAGUGUAAGGGGCCGGCCACUGGUGCACUUGGUUAAGUGCUCACAUUACAGUGUGCAAAGAGCCAGGUUCUAGCCCCCAGUCCCCUCCUGGAGAGGGGAAGCUCCCCAAGCAGUGAAGCACGGCUACAGGUGUUCUCUGUCUCUCUCCUUCUCUAUUCCCUGCAUCUCUUUAUUUCUUUCUCUACCCAAUAAAUAAGUAAAUAAAAAAGUUGUAAAAAGAAUUACAACAUAAAAGGAGCAAUAAUAUAUUUUAACUGAUUCUUAUUUAUUUAACUUGCCACCAAUGUUAUCAUUGAGUUUGGUGCCUGCACAACAAACUCCCUGCUCCUGGAGACAAUUUUUCUUUUUCUUUUUUUGCUUUCUAUUUUAUUGGGUAGGACAGAGAGAAAUUAAGAGGCGAGGGGAAGAUAGGGAAGGAGCGAGGAAGAGAGACAGCUGCAGACCUGCUUCAACAUUCAGUUGAGAGUUCCAGGUCUGUGCUCGUGAUCAGUGUCAUGGUGAAGAACGUGUUUAUAACGUCUAAACUACAUCCUCAGUCAUUUUCCUUCUUCUCCUGAAUGAGCCACCACAGUGGAGUCCGUCGCCGUCCAGUCUUGGUGAAGAGCUUGGCAGUUCCUCUGCAGGUAAGGCGUGUGAUAGGUGGCAGUCAGUGUUCCUCUCUUGCUUAGUGGAUUCUCUCAUUUGUUGUCACUGAGAGUGUUCAGUGAAGCAAAAGGCUAUACACAUGUAAAACAAAAAAAAUCCCAGAACAUUCUACUUACUGACUAAAUGAAGAAGGGGUCAAAAAUGGCCAUUCCUUAUUUCAGUUCCACUUUGAUCCAUUUUUCCAUGAGUUGGAAGAAGUAUAGAGAGCUGUGAGAACUUAGACGAAUCUCGUAGAAGAUAAACCCUAUUGUACAUGUUCAAGAAUCUUAAGGAUGAUUUAUUUUUAUUGCUUUAUUUUUUUGGUGGUCCAUUCUGCCAAGUUUCAAGCCAGUGAGGUUGAUUGGCAGUGACCUAAUCAAGGAUCAUGGCUUGUGCCGGGAAUUGAGGAGGUCAUCUCCGCACUGAGACUGAGUUUGAGCUCCCUCGGUGCUGUGAGAACUAAGGCCAGAGACAGAUUGCAGUGAAAUCAAACACAGAAAUCUAGGGCCUUGAUGAUUCACUAGAAUAUGGAAGUACAAAUGAGUGAAAUCACAGCGCCAUCUUAGUCCAGUGAUGAGACUGGAGGGUGUCUGAAUCAGAAACUUUGAUUAUCUCAUUGUCACUCUGAGGUCCUUUAUUUAAGAGCGGCCUCCUCCUCCCCUAUUCACACCAGCUUGGUAGCAGAAGUGUCAGAGCACUGAGUAUUAGAUUGGCAUCUUGAUCAUGCGUGUGCUCACGCUGGGCAUGUUGAUUGAAUUUAUGUAAGUUAAACCAUGUACUAAUAAGAUGCUUUUAUUAAUAUGAACUAAUGACGAGCAUAUAUCCGGAGACACGGAUCAUGUUAAAACACUUUUGGAGCACUGAAUUUCAAUUGAACAAUUUAAAAGUGGGCAAACCAUGACCCAGUGAGAAGAAAAACAAAGCCGUAACAUCAGAACAACUGCAGUCAAAAUAAGAGAAAAGACAUUUUAUUCGUUUCCAAAGCUGAUGACUAGUCUUACACUGCAUUGGGUUGAAAGAUUAAUUCACUAAUAACAUUGACUGCACUGUCCAGUGUGACCUCCCCCUCCAGUCUCAGUCUAGAUUUAUCUGUUUAAAUUUAAGUAAUUAAGUAAACACUUGAUAGUUCAUGUGACUUGAUGUGUUCUCAAAACUUCUAUUAGACUUUGGUCAUAACUGUUAAUCCCCAGAGGCACAGCAGGGAGUUUAUAGCAAGGUGCAGGGAUAAAUUUGCUUGAAUCAACAGUGUUAACUGACCCAUUUAGACCUUACCAAGGAUAUCUAUACCAAAAAUCGCAAUUACUGACACAAACUGUGUUGUGUUAUAGACACAGAUCUUGGUCAUAACCAAGGAUCCUGUUCUUGAGUUUGUUUUUUUUUUUAAUUCAUAGAUAUUGAUUUUUGUCACUGUCAGUGGGUCAAUAAACAAAGGAGGAAAGAGAGAAAAAGAUUUCUUUGUCUGAAACAAUGAUUUGUAAUUUAAAGGAUAUCUUUAGUGACUGACUAUAGCUUUAACAAUUGGGGAAAUAUAAAGUGCCAGGAAUAUAUUUUCAUUAGGCCCUCGAACUCUGAGGUCCUGUGUAAGGUGGCACUACCUGCUAUUCCCCCAGGCUGUGAACUUUCUUCUAGGAGUUGAAAGUCCUCAAAAGUUUGCUCUUAUGAGCAUUGUGGUAUUUUCAGUAAGUCAGAGGAUGAAUAGCUCAAGAAGAAUAUAAAUGAAUAAAGACAAAUAGGUUAUUCCUCAUCCAAAUUUGAGAGCAGGUAAUAUAAUAAAUGCAAUGUAAAAAUCACUAUUAAUAAAUUUCUGAAGCUUUGAGUUCCAGUAAAAUAAAUAGGUUACAGUUGACCCUUCUGAGUUAAGAGCAUCUUGACAAAUGGAUAUCAGAGGCCAUGCUGUUUUUCUAGGUUGGAUUGUUGACUUUUUGUUUUAUUAAGAGAAGGGCAAGACAUCUGCUGAAAUUAAUUAUUGAUUAAUAACUCCAUAUAUGAGCAGGGCCUUACAGUUAGACCGCUGAUGAGAAUGUGUCCCACAAUCAGAUAGGAUUUGUACAAUCAUGUUAACUAGUUAAAAAUUUUAAAUUGAAUGGUAUUGCAUUAGUGACUCAUUUUUAAAUAAAAAGUAUGAAAAAUUAUCUGAUCCCCCCCCCCCCGUGGCUACAGAGUCCAUGUUAUCAGUGGAGGCAUGGAUCUUCAUGGUUUUGUGAGACUUUGUACAGUAAUAAGUCAAUCAGCUAUUUGAAAGAAUGAGAAAUAUGUACCAGGGAGGUUCCCUUGUUAUGGAAUGAGGAAAGCGAUUAAUCUGUUUUAGCAGAAGAGCUCCACUGAUGAAGAAAACAGACUUAUGUCCUUCAUUUUUUUUUUUUAAUGGGAACUAUUUUUAGACAGGCUCAAUCAAUCUUUCUUUACUUGUUGGUGAAAUGUCUUUAAGAAUGGAAAUUCAGUCACCAAUAAAAUGGUCACAGUCAUAAGAAAUGGAAAUUCACAAUUCCAUGUAAAACUUUACACGUCUAGGAAAUUAGGACAGUAAGUCCUAAUUAGGACAGCCUCUUUCUGACCUGACAGGGCAUGGAGUGCACGCGGACAAGGCUCAGAGGCAGUCUUUACUCUUUUGUUUGGUGUUGGUUUUGUUGGUACUUGCACAAGUUAAAUUUGAUGCUUUAUCAAUAAGCACAUGAAUCCACAUGCCUUCGAAGUUUUAGAGUAUAGCAGCACCAAGGCUUUUCUUCUAAUCAAUCACUAUUUAAUCGAACUGAAAAUAUCUGCAUCUAAGUUGGCCCACCUAGAAACUUUCUAGCUUCCUUAAGUCUAUUUUUGUAUUUUCGUUGAACUCUCCCAAAUCGGUUGCACUGUGAUUCAGUGAAGGAGUGUAAAUACUUCUGUAAGUAACAGUCAAACCAGUUGCUUGUGGGGUGGUUUGUCCUGGAUGUUAACUAUGAUUCCAGGGAGGGAAAAAUGUGAUGCAGGCACCAAUAAAACUUGGUCCUUUUUCUUUUCUUGCCGCCAGUUACCACUGGGGAUUGGCCAGCACCACAAAUUCAGUGCUCCUGGCAGCCAUUUUCCCCCACCACCAAACUUUUUUUUUCUUCCAAUUUUAUUAAUUUAUUUUUAUUCGACAGGACAGAGAGAAAUUGAGAGGGAAAAGGAGAUAGAGAGGUAGAGAGAAAGAUGAUAGAGAGGUAGAGAGAAAGAUGAACACCUGCAGACCUACUUCACUGGUCACUUAGGAAAUAUCCUUCCUACAGGUGGGGAACAGGGUUUGAACCUGGAUACUUAUGCAUGUGUGCUUAACCGAUGUGCCACCACCCGGCCCCUAACCUUUACUUUUCUUCUCUUUUCUUUUUUACUUGCUUCCCUUUGCUGCUCCACCUGGCUGUCUUUGGGGAGAGUGAAGUGUAUUCACAGUCAAGGGCACUGGUCUUCUCUCUGGGCCUUGAGGGUGUGGGGCUCAGAAUGUUCACCCUCACGCUGUACUAAGAUGAUCCCAUGUCCCCGAUCCCCCUGGUUCCUUCCAUCCAUGUGUUGGGCAGAUCUAAGAUCAUCUGAUGUCAACGUCUUGGUCGACAGCACCUGCUCUCAGAGAGUGGAGACCAGGACUGCAACUGAGCGGUGAUUUGGGCCUGUCUUCCUUUUGUUCCAGAGGAAACCUAGGCUUUGUCACCACAAGCUGAUUUAAGACUCCCACCAUGAUCUUGGUGAUGGGCAUGGAGACUGAGGUGAGUCCCUGUCAAAAAUCUUUACCAGAGGACUUACUCUGUGUGGUUAAAAUGGACGACACGUUACCACUGAGCUUUAAAAGCAGUAAAAGUAGGUUUCACAUUGAUCUGUGUAAGAACAU